rnacentral:rRNA from 1 species
UACAGAGGUCUCGAGCGUUAUGCGGAAUCACUGGGCUUAAAGCGUGUGUAGGCGGAUCGGUAGGUACCUUGUGAAAUCCCACAGCUUAACUGUGGAACUGCUUGGUAUACUGCCGGUCUUGAGCCAGCUAGGGGCUACCGGAACAAAUGGUGGAGCGGUGAAAUGCGUAGAUAUCAUUUGGAACGCCAAUGGUGAAAACAGGUAGCUGGGGCUGUGCUGACGCUGAGACACGAAAGCCAGGGGAGCAAACGGG